rnacentral:rRNA from 1 species
UNUUACCAGAAAGGGACGGCUAACUACGUGCCAGCAGCCGCGGUAAUACGUAGNUCCCGAGCGUUGUCCGGAUUUAUUGGGCGUAAAGCGAGCGCAGGCGGUUAGAUAAGUCUGAAGUUAAAGGCUGUGGCUUAACCAUAGUACGCUUUGGAAACUGUUUAACUUGAGUGCAAGAGGGGAGAGUGGAAUUCCAUGUGUAGCGGUGAAAUGCGUAGAUAUAUGGAGGAACACCGGUGGCGAAAGCGGCUCUCUGGCUUGUAACUGACGCUGAGGCUCGAAAGCGGGGGGAGCAAACAGGAUUAGAUACCCUGGUAGUCCACGCCGUAAACGAUGAGUGCUAGGUGUUAGACCCUUUCCGGGGUUUAGUGCCGCAGCUAACGCAUUAAGCACUCCGCCUGGGGAGUACGACCGCAAGGUUGAAACUCAAAGGAAUUGACGGGGGCCCGCACAAACGGUGGAGCAUGUGGUUUAAUUCGAAGCAACGCGAAGAACCUUACCAGGUCUUGACAUCCCUCUGACGGCUCUAGGGAUAGAGCUUUCCUUCGGGACAGAGGUGACAGGUGGUGCAUGGUUGUCGUCAGCUCGUGUCGUGAGAUGUUGGGUUAAGUCCCGCAACGAGCGCAACCCCUAUUGUUAGUUGCCAUCAUUUAGUUGGGCACUCUAGCGAGACUGCCGGUAAUAAACCGGAGGAAGGUGGGGAUGACGUCAAAUCAUCAUGCCCCUUAUGACCUGGGCUACACACGUGCUACAAUGGCUGGUACAACGAGUCGCAAGCCGGUGACGGCAAGCUAAUCUCUUAAAGCCAGUCUCAGUUCGGAUUGUAGGCUGCAACUCGCCUACAUGAAGUCGGAAUCGCU